AUGAAAUACUAAAAUCGGUCCAGAGACAGAAGUAGUGAAACUCUCAUCUCGAACACAUCGACUCGAUGUGAAGAACAUAGAAGCGCCCAAAAUUGGUCCUCUAUAGAUAGAAAUCCCAAAUUGAAACCCAAAAUCGGUCCUAUCUAGAUAGAAAUCUUUCCAGAUAAUAGAAAUCCCAAAUCGAAAUCCCUCAAAAAUCUCACCCAAAUCGAAAUCCCUCAAAUCAGAAUGUGAAUUCGAUUGGGUGUUUAUGAUACUUGCCGGAAACUUCAUUUUGAAGCUAAAUCUCAAGAUUGGAAGCUGGUUUGACGAGUUUUGGUUUGAAUUUGUGAAACGAGUGUGCGAAGAAGAAGACCACUAGGGUCUUUCUAUUCAAAGCUUCUUCAACUUCAAGUAUUCUAGAACUUGUACACUACUGCGGAAGUCGGCAAAGGGCAAGAAAAUAUAGAAGUGAAAUUUUAACAACUUAGGAAUGUGUUCAAGUCAAAAAUCAUUGUCUGUCUCACAGUGCAGUUACUAGGUUCCCGACAGACUUUGAUAUUUCUCCACAUAAGCCCUAUAAUUUCGCAAGGCUCCACUUGUGGCGUAAGGAUCAGGGAGGCAGCUUAUUUCUAAUUGUUCAGGCAAGCAAUUUGUAUGGUUCAAGCAGGUACAAUGUAUUUAAUUUGCCUGGCCUUUAUUUGAAUGAUAUACAUUGGUUGGAUUUGUAGGUUUAAUGAUUUUAGUUGUUAAUUUUGUUGUUGUUGCUGUUUUCUUGAAUUUGUAACCCAUCGCGUGCUUCUUCCUUGUCGUGUUCAGUUUGUACCCCAUAGCGUGCUGCUUCCUUGUCGUGUUCGAGAUUUAAAGGAAUAGUGUGAAUCUGAUUGAAUAUUGUUAAUUCCCUAAAGACUUGACAGUGAUCAAAGAAGCAGAAGAUCGCCAGAAAUGCUUUUUCCUCGUAAUUUCUCUGCCCGUUUAACUAUCUUCUAAUCUCGUCCAGCGAAAGAAAUUUUGUUAUAUGAUUUCUGAAUACUAUUUGUUGAAGUUGUCAAUCUUGCAUAUUACCUGGCAGUAACUUAAUCAACACAAUACUAAGGUCAUGUAUUUUUGUAGUUUCAUAGAGUGGUACGUACCCUGGUUUGAACUUGUUCUUCAUUGCACACAAUUCGUAUAAGUAAUUUUGGAAUAGACUACUUCCUUCUUGUUUGAAUAAUGUGUUUUGUGACUGCUUGUCUGAAUACCCCUGGUAAAUGUUAAUUAUUAUAUAUAUUUUGAUUACUAUAAUUCUUCCCCUUUUAAUUAGUAAAUUAAUUUAUUUAUUUUCUUAAUAUAUAUAUAUGAUGGAUAAAAGUUGGUUGAAUAUUAGGAAUAGAGUCGAUAAAAGAUAUAGAGAUGGCGUAGACAACUUUCUUAAUUGGGCAUUCAGUCAACAAACGGUGAACACUAUGAUUCGAUGUCCUUUUAAAGGGUGUAUGAAUACCGUGUUCAAGCUAAGGGAUGGUGUAAGAGGAGAUUUAUUGAAGAAGGAUUUUUGGGAUUCUUAUAAAGUGUGGGACUUGCAUGGAGAAGUGUUAGUUAGAGUUGAAACUUCUAAUACUGCAGUUAGUAAUGAACCAGAAGAUGAUAGCAUUGAAGAGGAAAAUAUUACUGAAAUGAUUCACGAUGCUUGUGGAUAUACGAAUGUGGAGGAUAAUAAUAAUAAUAAUUCAGAGGACAAUGAAGAGCCAAAUGUACAUGCAAUAAAGUUCUACAAAUUGUUAGAAGAUGCUGAGACAGAACUUUAUCCUGGUUGUAAAAAAGUCUCGAAUUUAUCUUUUGUUGUUAAACUACUUCACUUGAAGUGUCUUAACCAUUGGAACAACAAAUCGAUGGAUGCAUUAUUGAGCUUCUUCAAAGAAGUUCUUCCCGAGGGGUCAUUUGUGCCUAAUUCUUUCUAUGAAGCAAAGAAAAGUUCUUUGUGACCACGGCUUAAGGUACACCAAAAUAGAUGCAUGUCGAAAUGAUUGUAUUUUAUAUUGGCGUGAUUAUGCCGAUGUCCAAGCAUGUCAUAAGUGUGGUAAGUCUAGAUGGAAGUCCGAAGAACAUGGAGGCAAGAAUGUAGCUCAUAAAAUCUUGCGGCAUUUUCCAAUCAAACCAAGGCUUCAAAGAUUGUACAUGGCAAGAGAAAUAGCUAAAACCAUUAGGUGGCACAAGGAGGGAAAUGUUGAUGAUGGUGUCUUGCGACAUCCAUCUGACUCAAUAACAAGGAAAUCUUUUGAUGCACGACAUCCCACCUUUUCAGCUGAGUUAAGAAAUAUUUGAUUAGUUUUGGAAGAGUUGAGAGAAUUAUGGGUCGGAGUGGAGACUUAUGAUGCACACUCAAAAUCUAAUUUUCUGAUGCAUGUGGCUAGCAUGUGGACGAUCAACGACUUUUCUGCAUAUGAAAAUCUUUCAGGAUGGUCAACCAAAGGCAAGCUUGCAUGCCCUUCUUGCCAUAAAGAUACACAAUCGACUUCCUUACGUAGUAAGUUGUAUUAUAUGGGUCAUCGUCGCUUCCUUCCCAUGGACCAUCCAUGGCGAAGAAGUAGGACGUUAUUUGAUGGGAAAGUUGAAAUGGGAGUUGCACCUAACCCUUUAACAGGUGAUGUAGCACUUAUGCAAUGACAAGCUUUGGGUAAUGUGAGUUUUGAUAAAGUACAAAAGAGAAAGCGUGAUGUUCAUAGCAAUGCUUACAAUUGGAAGAAGAAAAGUAUUUUUUUCCAAUUGCCUUAUUAGAAGAGUCUUAUGUUACGACAUAACCUUGAUGUGAUGCACAUCGAAAGAAAUAUGUCCAAUAGAAAUUUUAUCAACUGUCAUGAAUAUGGUUGGAAAGAAAAAAGACACAUUGAAAAGUAGAUAUGACUUGAUGGAUCUUGGAAUCGGAUAAAGGUUGCAUCCUAUUGAGGAUGAGAAUAAUAUUUUGUUACCGGCAGCAUGCUAUGCAUUGUCCGCAGAAGAGAAGCUGAAGGUGUGCAGUUUCUUAGCUAAUCUGAAGGUUCCUGAUGCAUUUUCCUCAAACAUUUCAAGGUGUGUCAACGUACAGGAGAAAAAGAUACAUGGACUGAAAUGUCACGAUCAUCAUGUAUUGUUGCUAGACAUUUUUGCAGUAGCUAUAUGUGGUUUGUUACCCAAGGAAGUGUGUGAUCCAAUUAUAGCCUUAGGAAACUUUUUCAAGAAUAUAUACUCUAAGUGCUUGACGAUUGAAGAUCUUGAUAUCCUAGAGGCAGAAAUUCCUAUUAUUUUGACCAAACUUCAACUUGUUUUCCCUCCGGCUUUCUUUGAUGUCACGGUUCAUUUGCCAAUUCACUUGCCAAGUGAGGCAAAGCUUGGUGGACCAGCUCAAUAUCGGAAUAUGUAUCCUAUUGAGAGGAUAUAUUUGAAGUUUGCAGCGGGUUGCGAGAGCAUAGGUUUCAGGCCUUUGUAAUUAGCACUAUGCAAAGUCUUUUUAGAGCAUGGAAAGCUCGACUCAGCAUUCUGUACUCUAAGUACUGUACUAAUGAAGAAAUAUUAUCUCAUCAACUUGAAGAUGUUGAGCUUGAGGACUGGAAAUACCUAAUACAAUAUUUUGGAAGUCCGGAAUUUAAGAGAAAUCCUAUUACUGGAGAAUUGAACACACCAGAUAAAGUUUGGGAAAUCCAACAUACACACAAGGAUGAUAGAGGCGAAGUGGUGUGGUUAGAUUCACAAUCCCAACAAAUUCAUGGUUGACUCCAGGAAGUUGUCGCUCAGCAACAAUCUAAGGGUAUCGAGCAUCCCAUGACUAAAGAUGAGAUUUUAUCCUCCGUUGUUGGUGAGAGAACAUGCUAUGUUUGUGGAAAACGAUACCGAAAGAAGCCUCCUAAAAAGAGUAACAUUCAGCAGGCAAACAUAGAGGCCAACGUGUCUUCUGCUAUUGAUAUUGUACGUCAAGAGAUGCAAGCCGAGAUGAAUAGGAUGUUGCAAGAAGAACGUGAAAAAAUCGUUGUUGCGUUGCGAAGAAAUAUGGAAAUUGAGUUGUAAAGGAAGUUGGCAGAGGAGCGUCAACAUGCAAAUGCAGAAACAGACAAGAGGAUCUCUCUAGAAGUGGAGAAGAAGAUGCAUGAACAAUUUGCUAGUUUCUUGACCAGAAUGCAACAGCAACAGUGACUUCAUGUUUAGGGGUUUAGUAACCACCAGGCAUUGUGGUGUUCUCUAUGAUGGUAACCUUCUGAUUUUGCUGUUGGACUGCCUUGGCUUCACAUUGAUUGUUGCCCUUUUGAGCAGGGACAAGGCACUUAAACAGUGGUAUCGUUCAAGGAUGGUGUCGGGCAAGGAGCAGUUACAAGGCACUUAAUAUUUUGUCGUUUUUCGGAUAUGUAUAUGCGUACAAUUAUAAUGCACAAUGAAGUGUCGGGUAAUAUAUAUGUAAUUGACUUUUUAGUAAUGAUAAUAUUUAUAAUAUUCGGCUUGAGAAAUUCUUUUAGUGUU